GAUGAACGCUAGCUACAGGCUUAACACAUGCAAGUCGAGGGGUAACGAGAGGAAAGCUUGCUUUCCUUGUCGGCGACCGGCGCACGGGUGAGUAACGCGUAUCCAACCUGCCCCCAACUAGGGAAUAACCUUGCGAAAGUAAGACUAAUACCCUAUAAUUUCCUCAGAUGCCAUCUGACGAGGAAUAAAGAUUUAUCGGUUGUGGAUGGGGAUGCGUCUGAUUAGCUUGUUGGCGGGGUAACGGCCCACCAAGGCAACGAUCAGUAGGGGUUCUGGGAGGAAGGUCCCCCACAUUGGAACUGAGACACGGUCCAAACUCCUACGGGAGGCAGCAGUGAGGAAUAUUGGUCAAUGGGCGGAAGCCUGAACCAGCCAAGUAGCGUGCAGGAUGACGGCCCUAUGGGUUGUAAACUGCUUUUAUACAGGAAUAAAGUUAGCCACGUGUGGUUAUUUGUAGGUACUGUAUGAAUAAGGACCGGCUAAUUCCGUGCCAGCCGCCGCGGUAA
rnacentral:rRNA from 1 species